rnacentral:pre_miRNA from 1 species
GUCUCCCGUGCGAAACGGCGCCGUGUUGUCUGCAAACAACACGGCGCCGUUUCGCACGGGAGACA